GGGGGCGAUACGGCUUCGACGGGGGUAGUGAGGCCGGAACUGCGUGCCGAGGUCCCAGUGGCUCGUUAAACAAUUGGGAAAACAAAUCUAAUUGCAAACGAUUAUUCGUAUGCAAUGGCCGCCUAAUUAAAGGCGACCCGUUCUCACCGGCUUCGCUUGCCGGGCUGGAUGAGGGCGUCGAUGAAGGCAGGCUGGUCGUUCAGCCCUGCUCAAGGUUGAACGAUGAGAUCUUUUGAGCUGGCCCGCUCCGUAUCCUGCCUUUCGGAGACGGAGCAGGCGAGAUUUAAAAGAAAGGCUAUGCAUGUAGAGGUUCCUGUCGAGUUAUCUUCGGACACGGGUUCGACUCCCGUCGCCUCCA
rnacentral:tmRNA from 1 species